rnacentral:rRNA from 1 species
UACAGAGGGUGCGAGCGUUGUUCGGAAUUAUUGGGCGUAAAGGGCGCGUAGGCGGUGCGGUAAGUCACCUGUGAAAUCUCCUGGCUCAACUGGGAGCUUGCAGGCGAAACUGCCGUGCUGGAGUGUGGGAGAGGUGCGUGGAAUUCCUGGUGUAGCGGUGAAAUGCGUAGAUAUCAGGAGGAACGCCUGUGGCGAAAGCGGCGCGCUGGACCACAACUGACGCUGAGGCGCGAAAGCUAGGGGAGCAAACAGG